rnacentral:rRNA from 1 species
GGCCGCGGGAAUUCGAUUCAGGCCUAACACAUGCAAGUCGAACGGCAGCACGGAGCUUGCUCUGGUGGCGAGUAGCGAACGGGUGAGUAAUAUAUCGGAACGUACCCUGGAGUGGGGGAUAACGUAGCGAAAGUUGCGCUAAUACCGCAUACGAUCUGCGGAUGAAAGUGGGGGAUCGCAAGACCUCAUGCUCGUGGAGCGGCCGAUAUCUGAUUAGCUAGUUGGUAGGGUAAAAGCCUACCAAGGCAUCGAUCAGUAGCUGGUCUGAGAGGACGACCAGCCACACUGGAACUGAGACACGGUCCAGACUCCUACGGGAGGCAGCAGUGGGGAAUUUUGGACAAUGGGC